UUAAUUCUAACAUUUAUUAACAAAUUCUAAACUCCAUUCCAUUGCUUCUUAUCCCCAACUAAGUUUCGGUGAUUUACCAUUUAUUUUGAUAAUAUAGGAGUUCAAUCCGAAAAGGUUUAGCAUAUCCUCUCCGCAACUUCCUCACUUCCGAACAUUCAUUUAGUGCAUAAUAUGUUAUUUAUAAUUAAUAAAAAUUAAA
rnacentral:lncRNA from 1 species